UCCUGGCUCAGAUUGAACGCUGGCGGCAUGCCUUACACAUGCAAGUCGAACGGCAGCACGGGAGCUUGCUCCUGGUGGCGAGUGGCGAACGGGUGAGUAAUACAUCGGAACGUACCCUGAAGUGGGGGAUAACGUAGCGAAAGUUACGCUAAUACCGCAUAUUCUGUGAGCAGGAGAGAGGGGGAUCGCAAGACCUCUUGCUUUAGGAGCGGCCGAUGUCGGAUUAGCUAGUUGGUGAGGUAAAGGCUCACCAAGGCGACGAUCCGUAGCGGGUCUGAGAGGAUGAUCCGCCACACUGGGACUGAGACACGGCCCAGACUCCUACGGGAGGCAGCAGUGGGGAAUUUUGGACAAUGGGCGCAAGCCUGAUCCAGCCAUGCCGCGUGAGUGAAGAAGGCCUUCGGGUUGUAAAGCUCUUUCGGUGGGGAAGAAAUUGCACAGGAUAAUACCUUGUGUAGAUGACGGUACCCGCAUAAGAAGCACCGGCUAACUACGUG
rnacentral:rRNA from 1 species